CCUACGGGUGGCAGCAGUGAGGAAUAUUGGUCAAUGGGCGCUAGUCUGAACCAGCCAAGUAGCGUGAAGGAUGACUGCCCUAUGGGUUGUAAACUUCUUUUAUAUGGGAAUAAAGUGCAGCAUGUAUACUGCUUUGUAUGUACCUUAUGAAUAAGGAUCGGCUAACUCCGUGCCAGCAGCCGCGGUAAUACGGAGGAUCCGAGCGUUAUCCGGAUUUAUUGGGUUUAAAGGGAGCGUAGAUGGGUUGUUAAGUCAGUUGUGAAAGUUUGCGGCUCAACCGUAAAAUUGCAGUUGAUACUGGCAGUCUUGAGUACAGUUGAGGUAGGCGGAAUUCGUGGUGUAGCGGUGAAAUGCUUAGAUAUCACGAAGAACUCCGAUUGCGAAGGCAGCUUACUAGACUGCCACUGACAUUGAUGCUCGAAAGUGUGGGUAUCAAACAGGAUUAGAUACCCGGGUAGUC
rnacentral:rRNA from 1 species